rnacentral:rRNA from 1 species
UGCAAGUAGAACGGUAACAGGAGUAGCUUGCUACUCGCUGACGAGUUGCGAACGGGUGCGUAACGCGUAUGCAACCUACCCUUAACAGGGGGAUAGCCUUUCGAAAGGAAGAAUAAUAUCCCAUAAUAUAACGAGAUGGCAUCAUCAUGUUAUUAAAGCUCCGGCGGUUAAGGAUGGGCAUGCGUGUCAUUAGUUAGUUGGUGAGGUAACGGCUCACCAAGACUACGAUGACUAGGGGUUCUGAGAGGAUUAUCCCCCACACUAGUACUGAGACACGGACCAGACUCCUACGGGAGGCAGCAGUGAGGAAUAUUGGGCAAUGGAGGCAACUCUGACCCAGCCAUGCCGCGUGCAGGAAGACUGCCCUAUGGGUUGUAAACUGCUUCUAUAUGGGAAGAAAUGUUUCUACGUGUAGAGAUUUGGCGGUACCAUACGAAUAAGGAUCGGCUAACUCCGUGCCAGCAGCCGCGGUAAUACGGAGGAUCCAAGCGUUAUCCGGAUUUAUUGGGUUUAAAGGGUCCGUAGGCGGGAAAGUCAGUCAGUGGUGAAAUCCUAUAGCUUAACUAUAGCACUGCCAUUGAUACUGCUUUUCUUGAAUUAAGUUGAAGUGGGCGGAAUGUGUCAUGUAGCGGUGAAAUGCAUAGAUAUGACACAGAACACCGAUUGCGAAGGCAGCUCACUAAGUUUAUAUUGACGCUGAUGGACGAAAGCGUGGGUAGCGAACAGGAUUAGAUACCCUGGUAGUCCACGCCGUAAACGAUGUAUACUCGAUGUUCGCGAUAUAGUGUGAGCGUCCAAGAGAAAUUAUUAAGUAUACCACCUGGGGAGUACGGUCGCAAGAUUGAAACUCAAAGGAAUUGACGGGGGCCCGCACAAGCGGUGGAGCAUGUGGUUUAAUUCGAUGAUACGCGAGGAACCUUACCUGGGCU